CCUUGCAGCCUAUUAACUGCAUCAGAUUUCCACACCAUCACCCCCUACACCCCCACCCCAGCCCUCCCUGAAACUUGAGACGCUGCAGAAUACCUGAGAAGCUCUUGUGGUGUGAGGGAACCGGGGAGAGAUAAUAAGGAGAUACCUCGUAUCUGACUUUUCUUCAGCAUCAGACUGGACAAGUAUUUUAUGAUGAGUUCUUCAGUCAGCAGUUUGAUUCACACUGUAGGUAUGGAGACCUCACUUUGCUCAGUUUCCCAUUGAGAGAUCAUCAGAAAACCCUUAAGAAGAAAAACAGCAGAAUUUUUGCUCCAAGCAGCUACGAGAUGGGCUUUGUCAGACAUGAGGACAUAAAAAGGAAUCGGGGAGAGGGGAAAAGUAACUUCACCUCUCCCUAUCUUCUUUUUCAGUAGUGCUUAUAGCAGUGUCUCUGAGUUACUUAAAGGUGCAGCCUGAAUUACACUGAAAGUGAAUGAGUCCAAGGCUUCAACUUAUUUGUUUCCCCAUUACCCCAAGAUAUGACUGACUCAGUCCUUAAAUAUUAGUGCCGCCACAGGGGUUGUAUUUUUAUGUUGGCUAUAGCCAGCUCUACUGUCUGUUGCUGUUCUGAAUUUGGCGUUUUAUUCAGUGGAGAAAAUGAUGCUCCCACUGUCAUCAGAGACAGGAUCUGUUAGGUCAGUAAUAACAAAAACUGCUCAAGGUAGUGUCAAACUUGAGUUUUCCUCCUUGAAGCCUGUUCCAGCAGUUCUCUAAGCCUACCUAGCAGAUUUAAAAUGCUAAGCAAGGCUCACAAGAGGCAGGGAUUUUCUUUUAGUCAGAGCUUCUAGAAACAUUAAGGUUCUCCGGAAGCAAUUUUUUUUAGCACAUCUAUUUGGGGGGUGGGAGACUAGAGAAAAUGUCUUGGAGUGCCUUUGAGCUGUAGUAAACUACUUAUCCCCGAGUCCUAAUGCCCUGACUAGAAAGAGUUGCAUCUGUCUAAUACACUGCUCUCCUGACAGAGAGAAAGAAGAGGAAAUAUAUUACAGGAAUCACUUAUUUUAAAAGAAGAAAACAGGAAAACAGUAAUUGUGAAUACCAUACAGCACCUCUAAAAUGCUCAUUUUUUUGAAUCUCGGCAUCUGUUUUCUUGGUUAUCUCGGAGCUUAGUUAAGUGUAUGCCAGUGUUUGCAAAGACAGCCUCACUUCAUUUCUUCUCUUUGCAGUGCCACAACUUAAAUAAAAUCCAUUUCAGUCAUGAUCUAUCAGGGAUGGCAGCAAGAGAUGUGAAGUCAUCAAACACUGUUGUUUAUAUGGCUGGUGCUUUGGAUCCCAUUUGAAGAGUUAGGAGAAAGGGGAAGGAAGUGGAUUUUUGAGAGCAAGAACUCUAACUCCCGCUUUUCUGCUAAAAAUGAAGCCUUUUAGUCAAAGGUUUCCUGUUUACUGUUUAACUUGAAGGAGUUAAAUUUUCAUGCACUUCUAAAGUCUGCAUGCUGUCCCACUGACUUGCUGACACAUGUAGUUGUAGCUAGGAGAAAGCUUAAAGAUACGAACCUGCAACAGACUAAAGCUUUUUAACAACAUAAGGCCUGUCCUGAUAAGGGGGAGAGUAUUUUGUAGUUUCGUUACACACAGCCCAAAUUAACAUUUUUAUGGCUGGAGAAUUCAUAAACUUUAAAAUCUUGAAUUGGAAUAUCAUUCUUGCUUUAAUAGUGCUAUUUUGGUAAUUUGGUUAAUUAUUAGAUAGAAGGUUUUGGUCCAAUUUAGUGACUGUAGUUAAAGAUGGUAGAAGUUAAUGUGGAAUGAGCUCUGAGAAAAGAGGUGCUCUGCCUGUGGGUUAAAGAAAAAAAAAAGAGGGUUGUUUUGUGGUUUUUUUUAAUUGUUUCUCUGUUAACUUGCUUCUUCUUAAAAUGAGAAAGUGUGUGAGAAGUGCAACUAAGAGCAACUGCCUUUGGCUUGAAAAAGCCUUUACAUUUCUAGAGCUCAGCAUGCUUCAGGAAGGAGCGCACUGCAAGGAUUCCUAGGGAGAGCAAGCAACCAAAAUAGUGUGAAUUAAGUACCAACUCCAGAGACCAUGCUAAUUUUAAAAGAAUGUCAUGAUUGUAUCAUAUUGUCUUACUAUACUUACUAACAGUAAAACCCGUUGUAAAAAGAGCAGCAUAGUAGGCCAGAAUGAGGACAUGAAAUGUAUAAAGAUGUGGGGCAAAAUCAUAUGGAUUAAAUAGCUUCUUACAGUCUUUUCCCUGCCUACCACUAUGUGGCGUGAAGAUAUUUCUGAUCCCUCUGUCACAGUAUCAGUAGUGGAACGUAACUGGGUAUUAAUUAUUGAUAACUGUACAGAGGUAGAUGGUCGCUAUUUGCAUUCCAAAAGCACAGCUGGGGUCUACCUCUUCUUUCUUAACUUCAUGUUUUGGAAGUCUAGCAGGAAAACAUAAUUAAAUAUGCAUUAUAAUACCAAUCAGAGCUAAGAAAAAUGAAUUGAAAACACUAUGGGAAGAGUUUGGGGUCUUUUUUGUUUUAAAAGAAAAAAUUGAACCAUGGAGUUGAUGUGGUCCAAUAAGCUGUAAAAGUUAGAAUGAGAAGACAGUAGUUAGAGGUAAGGAGGAAUAUGUGCUCACUAAUUUGAUAGUCAGUGUGACAGAGUUUGUUCUAAUACCCUGAGGCUAGACUGGUAUUUUCCAAGUUCAUCAGUAACUUUUCUCUGACUGCCUUGCACGACAUUUC